AGGACAUUGCUGGCAUCUUAGUGAGACUUGGUGACCUUAAUUUCCUCCAUAUCCUGAUCUCUGAUGGGGGAUGCAGGGUGGGGAAGUCUGCACUCGAUUGGGAGGAGGUUGCUCUGGGAACCUACUUUGAACCCUCCAGAAUUGACUCAAUGGCAAUUAGUCUUUUUGUUGUUGUUUUUUGGUUUGAACCAUUCAGGAUUGCAGUGUGGAUGGACAGCAGAAGUGUUUCAAAGAUUUGGACUCCCUUCGUGGUCGGCAGGGUGCACUCCAGGUUCAGGUACAGAUAUGUCAGCAGAAGAUUGCUGCCGUGCAGGCCCAGGAACAAGAGCUGGAGGAAAGGAACAAGGGGUUGUGCUCUGACCUGGACAAGGCUUGGCAAGAGGUGAAGCGAUUGCAACAGCUGCUAAUCAGCCAGAAGGCACAGUAUGACUCUGAGUUGAAGAGAAAGGAGAAGGAGCUGGGGAAGCUCAAGGAGCGGGUGCAGGAGAUGCAGGGGGAAUGGCGGAACUGCCAGGGAAGUCAGUCUCUGAGUGGUGAAGAGAAGCUUUCACAGGAGAAAGUUCCUCACCAUCCAUGCCACCCACACACCCUCUCUUUCCUCCUUUCCUACCUAGAGAUUGAUAUUCUCAACAACCUGAAGCAGUCCAAUGGGAAGCAGACCACGUGGAAAAUUGGCAAAGCUAACAGCAAGUAGGAAGGGACUAGCUUUUGUGAUAGGGAGCAGGGAGACCAGAAUGUAAGGGAGAGGAGAAGUGAGCUGGAAUGCUUUGAUUAGUUUUGAGCUAUUCUCUUACUCCCACCUGUCCUGUUCCAUUUUUUAGGAAAGAGGGAGAGUUGUUCCAAACAGUGGUGAGAAACCUCGAGAACCAAGUGGCAGCAGUUUCCAAGGAAAAUGAAGAACUCAGGCAGUUGCUGACCAGACUAGACAGGGAUGUGGUGGGACUUCUGGGUUGCCCUUGGGACAGUCCUACUGUGAGUUUUCAUGCACAGAAAAAGGCAGACAUAGAUGUUGAAUCAGGCUCCUGAUGCUAUAAAUAUCUUUUUCAACUGUACUAUGAAGUGGGAGGUGGUGUUCUCUCAGCAGGAGCCAGAUGGGUAACAUUCCAGUCUAGAAGGCUUCUGCUUUGGUCCAAAACUGCAGGCUUGAUGAAUUGUCUUCAUUGAAGGCUGACCCAAUUUUUCCUCCUCUUUCCCAGUGGAUACCAUCUAUCUUCCCCUCUCCAGGAAACUAUAGCUUUGGAUUGUAGUGCCUUGUGGGAACACUGGAGUUGCCUCAAGAAGGAAACAGACGUACUGAAGAAACAAGGUAGAACCUCCCCUUCCACUUGGAGACCCAGAUAGUCUCUGUGUGGGCGAGGGCUGGAGUUAGUACAUGUAUUUCAUAUAGCUCUGGGCUUGAGGCUUGAAACCCUGUUCAUACCGACUCUGCAUCAUCAUGCUGGCCUGUUAUCAGGCCAGCCUGCAGAGGAGCCUCUAGGUAGAGAACCCACAAUCAGCUUCACUGACCAUGACAAGGAGCUGGUCCAGCUGCGACAGGAGAUUUAGAGGAGUUGGGACUUUAUCGCCUGGCAACAGCGCUGCUUCCAGGUGAGGGGCCCCGAGGGGCUUCUACGGGUCACCGCUACGAGGCAGGAACAGUGCUCAGCCGGCACCCUUCAUGCAGGAGCAGAUUAGCUCUGGUGAGGAGUUGCCAGAUUAGCUCUGGUGAGGAGUUGCCAGCCCACCUCUGAGGCUCAUACUUUCUGGAGGAAGAGCAGAGGCUGAAGGAAGCUCAGGCCCUCUUUGCCCAGGAGCAGGCGCACUUUAAGGUGGAGAGACACCGCUUCACCGAAGCCGCCAUUCGUCUGGGCCACGAGCGCCAGCGCUUAGAGGGGGAGCGGGCCCUCUUUUUGAAGGAGCAGCUGCUGGAAUUUUCUCUCUACAGUUCUUCCCAGGCAAAUACCCUAAGUUCCUGUCUGGAUUUACCAGGACUCCAAAAUAGGGACCCUCUAUCUUGGUGCCCUGUUUCCUGUUCCAACUCUGGCCUCAGCAAAAGUCCAGGCAGGUGCCCUUGUGUCCCAGAAUAUUACCACACUGGAGGGGUCUACUCACUUCCUCAUCAUCCACGUGGAAGGUAAGGGUGGGGACAGUGAUGUGAGGGGUUUGGGUACAGGCUUAGUGUGCCAGAGGAAGGCACCAUCAGUAAAAUUUCUUCCCCCUUCUUCCUCCAGAGUACACUGGGAUUGCUGCAAACGGGAAGGAAAUGAUCCCAACUUUCCACCUGAUUUGCUAGAUGGCUUCCUGAACAGUUUCCUCUGACAAGUCCUUUCUUUAUUCACCUCUGAUACUUCAGAGAUGAUAGAGAUGGGCAUGUAAAAGAGUUAGCUUUUGUUUUUAGUGUUGUGGAAAGCCCUAUUUUUAAAAUUGUUCUGGGUCUCAAUAAAGAAAACAAAUCCCUUAUUGGCAUAGCUGUGGACAUUAAGGGUUGGGUGUAUUGGUUUUCAAGGGAGAAUGAGUCAUGGAAGAAAAGAGUAGAGUGGUUGAGCGAGGAGAGAGAGAAUUGAGAGAAAGGGUAUGGAGAACUUCUCUUCUUCCCUUAAAAAAUAAGUAUUUUAUGCCAGGCAAAGACUGAAAUAAUGGAUAGAAUUCAUGUACUCUCCUUAUGAUUUUACUCUUUACUCCUUCUCCCUUACUUUGUUAACUUCCUUAUCUUGAGGAGAGAAUUGAUGUUCCACAGCGGAAAGGUAGGUCUCCUUGUGGGAAUGGGGAAUGGGACAGAAUGAAGAACCUAGAGAGUUGGAUUAGGAACAUGCAUUGAAGAGUUUCCAAUACCAGCUAUAAAUUGCCACACUUAAGGGGCAGGGGGUUGCAGACAGGAGUGAGCACCAGAAGAGGAUUUUCAGUAGUCCAGAUAAUAGUCCAGAGACAACUUGGUUUGAAUGGUCCCCUCCUUUACCCUUCCGGGGUAGUUCUGUGACAGUCCAAGUAGAUGUCUCCUUAAACCAAAACCCAAACCCAGUGCGAUAGAGUUGAUUCUGACUCAUAGCGACACAAUAGGACAGAGUAGAACCGCCCCGUAGAGUUUCCAAGGAGCACCUGGCGGAUUCGAACUGCUGACCCUUUGGUUAGCAGUCAUAGCACUUAACCACUAUGCCACCAGGGUUUCCUUACUUCUUUUCAAUUUGUUCCUUUCAGGUAGUUUCUUUCUUUUUCUGGUUCAAAGUCAAUGUCUAAAUCAGGCCCUUUUGUAAUAGGAGCAGGCUUGUUGUCCUUUAUUAACGAAUCACCUCUCUCUCUUCACAUUGGGGAGUUUUGCUGUGUUGACUGUGUUUUGGGCCUAAUAUUGUUUCUGAUAUUUAUCCUUCCUUAGAGUUGGAAAAGGGGUAAGCCCCAGACUUAACUUCCUCACUUAUGUGUAAUAUUCGUAAAUAACACUAACGGUGUAUGCUCAAUGUCUGAAUUACAUAAAGAAGUAGUAAUUGAGUUUUGGUGCUGCCUGAGGAAGAGGUGAGGAGGUUGGGAAAAGCUGAAUUUAUGAAAUGGCCUUGUAAUAUCAUCUAGGUAAUUAUUCUUGUUAGUUGACUAUUCCCAAGGGCAAAGAAUACAUAUUUUGGCAUAGAGACAGGUCUCCCUACCAGCAAAGGAAAAAGGACUCAGGAGGAGUGAGGGACUAUUUUAUUCAUGAUAGCUUUAGCAGUCACUUUCCUUCACAUUCCUGCCUUGUGCUCUUUUUUGAUUUUUUUUUUUUAGUUAGUGUCAUGGACUGAAUUGUAGCCCCCCAAAAUAUGUGUCUAGUUGGCUAGGCCAUGAUUUCUGGUAUUGUGUGAUUGUCCACCAUUCUGUCAUCUGACGUGAUUAUCCUAUGUGUUGUAAAUCCUACCUCUACGAUGGUCAUGAGGCAGGAUUAAAGGCAGUUAUGUUAAUAAAUCAGGACUCAAUCUACAAGAUUAUGUUGACUCUUAAGCCAAUCUCUUUUGAGAUAUAAAAGAGAGAAGUGAGCAGAGAGACACGGGAACCUCAUACUAUCAAGAAAUAAGACCCAGGAGAAUAGAAUGUCCUUUGGGCCUGGGGAUCCCUGCGCUGAGAAGCUCUUUGACCAGGGAGAAUUGAUAACAAGGAACUUCCCCCAGAGCUAACAGGGAGAGAAAGCCCUACUGUGGACCUGGUACCCUGAAUUCAGACUUCUAGCCUCCCAGAUUGUGAGAGAAUAAAUUUCUUUUUGUUAAAGCCAUCCACUUGUGGCAUUUCUGUUAUAGCAGGACUAGAUGACUAAGGCAGUAUAUCCUGAGUUUUGUCUGAGUAUAAUACAUUUUUUUAAGAUAAUUUAUCUUUUAGAAAUUGAGUUAAACUUUACAAUAAGUAUUUAGAGUUAAUUAAUAUGUUUACAUGGUGAUGAACACUACACACUUGGUUGACUAGUCCUUUCUCUCUCUUCCCUACUCUUCAGACCAUCUGUCCAUGAUAGAGCCUAAGAAUGACAAAUAGUUUCCUGGCCUCACCUGCAAUUAGAGAUGGCCAUGUGGCUUAGUUCUGAUUAAUUAGAUAUAGGGAGAUAUUGGUUGGGGAAACUCCUAGGAAAGAAUUUCUUCUUUGAUUAAAAAGGGAGAUAUAGAUAGAAAGUUCUGUUCUUUACUCAUCCCUCAUGGUUACGUGAGACGUGAUAUCUCUCCUGGUAAAGCUUACAAGGUAGCAAUUCUGAGGAUGAAAGCCAACUGCUUAGGACAAGGAAUGGAAGAAAGAAACAUGUCCUGGUCUUUGAGGAAAUUAUUGCACCAGUCCACUGGACCAAAUUGAGUAAUGCAUAUCCCUUUACUUGUUAGGUCAUGCUACAAAAACUUUCCCCGUUUUUCUUAAGUAUUCUGUGGCUUACUCUCUCAACCCUCCAUCCCUCAAUUCUCUUUAUUAUUGAGUUUAUUUAAUGUCUGCAAGCCUUUCUUCUUCUCUGGUCCUUACUUCGUCUAACUGUCCUCCUAAUUCUACGUCACAAAAGACCCAGAACAGGCUUGCCAUAGGCAGAACAUUUUAAGGGGGCAGGGAAAAGGGAGAGGCAGGAAAUAUGUUCAUUUUGAAAAAUCCAGUGGCCAAUUACACUUAAGAAAACUUGGGUUUUGUUUUGUGGUAGCCAUGGAAGGACUUUAAACUUGAAAGUGACAUGAUCGGACUUGCAUUUUAAAAUAUUUACCUUUUGUAGACUCAGAGCAAACAAUUAGUUAUGUAAAUACGUUGUUGCUGUUAGUUGCCACUGAGUUGUCUCUGAGUCACGGUGGCCUUAUAUAUAACAAAAUGAAACCAUGCCCAGUCCUGCACUAUCUUCAUGACUGUUGCGUGUCUGGGUCCACUGUUGUGGGCAUUAUGUCAAGCCAUCUCGUUGAGAGUUCUCCUUGUCUUUGCUGCCCCUCCACUUUGACAAACAUAAACAUAGUAGGUGCUCUUC